rnacentral:rRNA from 1 species
GAUGAACGCUGGCGGUCUGCUUAACACAUGCAAGUCGAGCGGGCCCGCAAGGGUCAGCGGCGGACGGGUUAGUAACGCGUGGGAACGUGCCCUUUGCUCCGGAAUAGCCCUGGGAAGCUGGGGGUAAUACCGGAUGUGCCCUGAGGGGGAAAGGUUUACCGGCAAGGGAUCGGCCCGCGUCUGAUUAGGUAGUUGGUGGGGUAACGGCUCACCAAGCCGACGAUCGGUAGCUGGUUUGAGAGGAUGAUCAGCAACACUGGGACUGAGACACGGCCCAGACUCCUACGGGAGGCAGCAGUGGGGAAUCUUGGACAAUGGGGGCAACCCUGAUCCAGCCAUGCCGCGUGGGUGAUGAA